UGGGGAAUAUUGCACAAUGGGCGCAAGCCUGAUGCAGCAACGCCGCGUGAACGAUGAAGGUCUUCGGAUCGUAAAGUUCUGUUGCAGGGGAAGAUAAUGACGGUACCCUGUGAGGAAGCCCCGGCUAACUACGUGCCAGCAGCCGCGGUGAUACGUAGGGGGCUAGCGUUAUACGGAUUUACUGGGCGUAAAGGGUGCGUAGGUGGUCUUUCAAGUCGGUGGUUAAAGGCUACGGCUCAACCGUAGUUAGCCUCCGAAACUGGAAGACUUGAGUGCAGGAGAGGAAAGUGGAAUUCCCAGUGUAGCGGUGAAAUGCGUAGAUAUUGGGAGGAACACCAGUAGCGAAGGCGGCUUUCUGGACUGCAACUGACACUGAGGCACGAAAGCGUGGGUAGCAAACAGG
rnacentral:rRNA from 1 species